GGGAGGGUAGUUAUUAAAUUGGAAGAACGCGCCAAGAGUGGCAGAGAAGUCGGUUCAACUCCGACCCCUCCUACCA
rnacentral:tRNA from 1 species